rnacentral:lncRNA from 1 species
CGUAGUUUAUAUUCUGAUCGUCUUUAACACUAACACCAACUACAAACAUAAGGCUGCAUGUUUAACUUCCUAAGUUAAAAAGAAACUAUAAAAGACUUCAUGAUUGCAAGAGCAAAUAGCUACAAAAACCUCUCUCUACCUCUCGCAUCUCCCUAACCCUCUCCUAAACCUAAACGCGUCUCCUCCGCCGCCGUGCGCCUCGCCGGUAGGCGGAGCCUCUCUCUCCCUUAUCUCCUUUUCCUGUUUGCUCCUCUGUUUCUCCGGUUCUGUAAGCCGAUAUGUCUAAGUUCUGGUCCUCUAUGGCAAAAUCGUUGUUCAGAUCCGCCGGUGGUGGUCCUUGAAGUCGGUGGAGGCUAUAGAUCUGGAAGGAGGGUGAGGUUUAUAGGCCGGGUGUUUGCAGUGGAGUCGGCGUUUAGGAGCUUGUCUGCUUAAACCGGUGAUUUUCUCUUCUUUCCGGUCAGCUUGUCAGUGGCGAAGAUGCGUGGAUCAGCUUCAGAGGUGGAUCUUCCAGAUCUUGCGGUUAUGGGCUUCAUUGUGGAUGGAUCUGUCCUCUCUGCCCUCGUCUUCUCCGGCUUCCUCCGUGGAGUUUUCCGGUGACUCUGCGGCUUAUGACAUCUUCUCCGUCGUCUCUUGCGGCUCCUUGACCAGUGGGGUUCAGAGCGUCUGGAGGUUGAAGCAACAUCCUUCGGUUCUCGACGGGUGCGCAUGUCUGGUGGGAUGGUGGGGUAGUCUGGUCAGCGUCUCACUCUCUCCCGGUUGGCGGCGCGUGUGGAGUGGAUUCUGCGCAGCUUUGGCUCCGAUCCUCUCGGGUCGGUAGGGGUCUAUCUUCUUUGCUUUUUUUGAUGUUCUGUCUGAAGCCGGUGAGGUGGCUUUUGCCAGGUUCCGCUUUCUUGCUUGAUUACAAGGAUGUGACCAUCAAGGCUCCGGUGGAGUCGUGCUGUAUCUACGGUGAAAGGCCGUUUACGAGCUAUUGCUUUAGUGGCCGUGACGGUUUAGUAAACGUUGGGUUCAGGAUCAGUUUGCAAUUGAUUUUGGGCUGUGUCUUGUAAUCUUUUUUUAUCACGAAUAAAUGCUCGGUUUGUUGGAGCUAGUGCUUGACCAGUGGGGGUGGCUGGUUUCCGGAUGGUGGAUGCGAAUGCCGUCUUCUGCGAGCUGUUCUUGGUCGGGCCAGAUCAUUAAGAACAGAUCAUCGGGGAGGCCAAAAUUACUGGAUUCUGUGUCUCGGUUUAACUGUAGCCUUUCUUUUUGCGGUAAGCAGCUGUGCGGUUUAGUUGAGGCCUCUGUUUCCGGCUUAUGUCAUGUUGUGUCGGUCUUGCUUACACUAGAUCGAGUCAUUGUUUAGUUUUAUUUUCUUUCAUCCACUUCUUGUUGUCUUUGUAUUUCUGUCAAAAAUCUGAAAAUUGGUGAUAAUAUUUUUACAUUUUUACCAAAAAAAAGAACAAAUAGCUAAAUUCCCAAUAUUUUUUUAAUAUACAAUAUAAAUUAAUAGAUUUUUCUGCAAAAUUAGGUCAUAUUUAAAAAUCUUAAUCAUAAAUUAAACUGUAACUCAACGUGUAUUGAUCAUUUUACGACCCCUAUGUAAGCGAAAAUAGAAUAAAUGUCUUCUCCUGGUCAGCAUGUAAAGUAAAUCUAGGCAGAAAUCAACUAUUUCAAGAACUGUUAAAAUACUAAGAAAUUGAUGUUUUGCUUUGUUCAGCAAGGGAAAUAGAAGGAAGUGAAUAAAAGGUUUAAUAAGUAGUGGUAGAAAAUUAGGUACUUCGAGCCGAAGCACCUAAAGAAUGGUUGAGCCAUGUGUUCCAAGUCGUUUGCCAUGACGUGCACCAUGUUGACACGUCGUAUACAAGUAUGACAUGUUCCAUUUUUGCGUGUACGUAGAUACUCUCUCCCU